rnacentral:rRNA from 1 species
CACGUAGGGCGCAAGCGUUGUCCGGAAUUAUUGGGCGUAAAGGGCUCGCAGGCGGUCUUCUAAGUCUGAUGUGAAAUCUUGCGGCUUAACCGUAAGCGGUCAUUGGAAACUGGAGGACUUGAGUACAGAAGAGGAGAGUGGAAUUCCACGUGUAGCGGUGAAAUGCGUAGAGAUGUGGAGGAACACCAGUGGCGAAGGCGACUCUCUGGUCUGUAACUGACGCUGAGGAGCGAAAGCGUGGGGAGCAAACAGG